CUCUUUGCUCCCUUUGUCUGCAUCUCAGGGGGAAUUCCGGCUUUGCAAUGAGACUAUCAAUAAUACCGAACCUCAUGUGGCUGAAAUAUUUAGACUUUCACAUCGUCCGGUGCAUGUGAUGAAGAGAAGCUCUCCUCCAGCUGAUGACCGAGACCUGUGCUGUGAUUUCACGAGAUAUCCUCGGUACGGGAGACGACAUCGCUGUGGCCGCCUGAGAGGACUUGUGUGUCCGGAGCCGUCGGGGAUUGGCCGCGUGUCAUCCUGGGUCUUCAGAAGGAACAGUGAAGGAACGUUGUGUUGGGGACUUGGGGAUGAGAGGUU
ensembl:lncRNA